CACCCGCAGCUCGAGUGGUGGUCACUUUUAUUGAGCCUAAAGCGUUUGUAGCCGGUUAUGCAAAUCUUCAGAUAAAUUCCUCUGCUUAACAGAUGAUCUUCUGAAGAGACUGCGAGACUUGGGACCGGGUGAGGUUGAAGGUACUUCCGGGGUAGGGGUAAAAUCCUGUAAUCCUGGAAGGACGACCGGUGGCGAAGGCGUUCAACUAGAACGGAUCCGACGGUGAGGAACGAGGGCUAGGGUAGCAAACCGGAUUAGAUACCCGGGUAGUCCUAGCUGUAAACACUGCCCACUUGGUGUUGCCCCUCCGAUGAGGGGAGGCAGUGCCGGAGCGAAGGUGUUAAGUGGGCCGCUUGGGGAGUAUGGUCGCAAGGCUGAAACUUAAAGGAAUUGGCGGGGGAGCACCGCAACGGGAGGAGCGUGCGGUUUAAUUGGAUUCAACGCCGGAAAACUCACCGGGAGCGACCUUUGGAUGAGAGUCAGCCUGAUGAGCUUACUCGAUAGAAGGAGAGGUGGUGCAUGGCCGUCGUCAGCUCGUACCGUAGGGCGUUCACUUAAGUGUGAUAACGAGCGAGACCCCCAUCUCUAAUUGCUAACGUGCAUUCGCGUGCACGCGCACUUUAGAGGGACCGCCAGUGCUAAACUGGAGGAAGGAGGGGUCGACGGCAGGUCAGUACGCCCCGAAUCUCCCGGGCAACACGCGCGCUACAAAGGGCAGGACAAUGAGUUGCCACCUCGAAAGGGGGAGCUAAUCUCGAAACCUGUUCGUAGUUAGGAUUGAGGGCUGUAACUCGCCCUCAUGAAUGUGGAUUCCGUAGUAAUCGCGGGUCAACAGCCCGCGGUGAAUAUGCCCCUGCUCCU
rnacentral:rRNA from 1 species